UACGGAGGGAGCUAGCGUUGUUCGGAUAUACUGGGCGUAAAGCGCACGUAGGCGGCGCAGCAAGUCAGGGGUGAAAUCCCGGGGCUCAACCCCGGAACUGCCCUUGAAACUGCAGUGCUAGAAUCUUGGAGAGGCGAGUGGAAUUCCGAGUGUAGGGGUGAAAUUCGUAGAUAUUCGGAAGAACACCAGUGGCGACGGCGACUGACUGGACAUGUAUUGACGCUGCGGUGCGAAAGCGUGGGGAGCAAACAGG
rnacentral:rRNA from 1 species